CCCACCUGUUUUCCAUUACAUGCAUGAAGGAAGCACACAUACUGAGGGAGAAGAACAGAACUGUCAUUGCAUGGGUCACGGGGGCAUCAACCUAUCCCAGCACACAAGCCCGGGACACAUUGUGCACGGACUACCUGUCUAGACGGAUACACAUUAAUACCUAUGAACAAUUUAGAAUGUCCAACCCACCUGACCUCUGUGUUUUGAAUGUGGGAGGAAAAUAUAGCAUCACAGGAGAACAAGCAAAACACCGCUGCAGCCCGAUUUCAUUAAAGCUUCAUCUGAUCUGAUGUAAUCAA